rnacentral:rRNA from 1 species
UCUGUUGCCUCCGGGGCGACCCUGCCUUCGGGCGGGGGCUCCGGGUGGACACUUCAAACUCUUGCGUAACUUUGCAGUCUGAGUAAACUUAAUUAAUAAAUUAAAACUUUUAACAACGGAUCUCUUGGUUCUGGCAUCGAUGAAGAACGCAGCGAAAUGCGAUAAGUAAUGUGAAUUGCAGAAUUCAGUGAAUCAUCGAAUCUUUGAACGCACAUUGCGCCCCCUGGUAUUCCGGGGGGCAUGCCUGUUCGAGCGUCAUUUCACCACUCAAGCCUCGCUUGGUAUUGGGCAACGCGGUCCGCCGCGUGCCUCAAAUCGACCGGCUGGGUCUUCUGUCCCCUAAGCGUUGUGGAAACUAUUCGCUAAAGGGUGUUCGGGAGGCUACGCCGUAAAACAACCCCAUUUCUAAGGUUGACCUCGGAUCAGGUAGGGAUACCCGCUGAACUUAAGCAUAUC